GGCAGUUCUCGGGUGACCCCUGGAAUCGGGGUCCCUUCUCUCUGGUUCUAGGUGCGUCAUCCAAGAAUCGCA
rfam:Myotis lucifugus cont2.24179, whole genome shotgun sequence.